UAAAAAAAGCCGGAAUAGC
rnacentral:tRNA from 8 species